CCCUUAGAUGUUCUGGGCUGCACGCGCGCUACACUGAUACUUUCAGCGAGUCCACCACCUUGCCUAAGAGGGUGGGGUAACCUCUGGAAAGUGUAUCGUGAUGGGGAUCGAUUAUUGUAAUUAUUAAUCUUCAACGAGGAAUUCCUAGUAAGCAUGUGUCAUCAGCCCGUGCUGAUUACGUCCCUGCCCUUUGUACACACCGCCCGUCGCUACUACCGAUUGAACGGUUUAGUGAGGACCUCGGAUUGGUCUCGGCCCGCUCUUUACCGGGCGGCGCCGUUGGUCGAGAAGACGCUCGAACUUGAUCGUUUAGAGGAAGUAAAAGUCGUAACA
rnacentral:rRNA from 1 species